rnacentral:lncRNA from 1 species
AAAAAAUAACCUUCAUGGAAAAAGCCUGGAGGUGCUUUGUUUGUCAAUCUUUUGUAAUAGAACUCAAGUCAUCACGAUUGAAUUGCAGCACUUGAAGAAAGGAUAUUAUGUUCAGCCAACAAUUAUUACUGAUGUUAAUACCUCCAUGGAAAUUUGGAAAGAGGAAGUAUUUGGACCUGUUCUUUGUGUCAGAACAUUCAAAACUGAACAAGAAGCCAUUGAACUAGCCAAUGACACCGAGUGAGUUGCCUAAAACCAAAUUGCCAAUACUGUAGGAAAGCAUUGCUUCUGCAUUUUUGGACCGGGUGAUUCUUUGGACAAAAAACAUCAAGAUCUCUGAUCCCUUGGAAGAAGACUGCAAGCUUGGUCCCAUCGUUAGUUCUGCCCAGGUAAGAAAAUUGUAUGUUUUGGGUUGAUUUAAAACGCGGUUCUAACUAUAAAGUACUUCAGAAACAAAAUAUCAUGUUUAACAUUGAACUGACACUUUCAUAUAGAAGAUACUAUAUUUGGUUUGUUAUUUUCCAGCAGAUCUUGUAGAUGAAGUGAAGUGGUAACCGUAACACAAUCUGUAGACAAUUUCUACGUACUAAUUUUUGUUAAAUUGCAGUAUGAGAAAGUAAUGAAGUUCAUCUCAAAUGCCAAAAAUGAAGGUGCAACCAUUCUUUAUGGUGGCGAACGGCCUCAGGUAAAAAAAAAAUAACCUUCAUGGAAAAAGCCUGGAGGUGCUUUGUUUGUCAAUCUUUUGUAAUAGAACUCAAGUCAUCACGAUUGAAUUGCAGCACUUGAAGAAAGGAUAUUAUGUUCAGCCAACAAUUAUUACUGAUGUUAAUACCUCCAUGGAAAUUUGGAAAGAGGAAGUAUUUGGACCUGUUCUUUGUGUCAGAACAUUCAAAACUGAACAAGAAGCCAUUGAACUAGCCAAUGACACCGAGUGAGUUGCCUAUUCAGACUUUCACCAAUAUAUUGUGUGUAUAUUUUUUCCCUAUUUAGUAAGUCACUAGUCAGAGUUAACUUCUAGUCAUGUUAGUAUAUUUACUUUACGUCCAUCAUUUUCUAGGAGUUUUUCGGAAUUUUGGAUGAAAAAACUUGCCCUUUAGGCUCCGG